rnacentral:rRNA from 1 species
CCUACGGGGGGCAGCAGUGGGGGAUAUUGCACAAUGGGGGGAACCCUGAUGCAGCGACGCCGCGUGGGUGAAGAAGCGCCUCGGCGCGUAAAGCCCUGUCAGCAGGGAAGAAAAUGACGGUACCUGAAGAAGAAGCCCCGGCUAACUACGUGCCAGCAGCCGCGGUAAUACGUAGGGGGCCAGCGUUAUCCGGAUUUACCGGGUGUAAAGGGGGCGAAGACGGCGAAGCAAGCCAGGAGUGAAAGCCCGGGGCCCAACCCCGAGACUGCUCUUGGACUUGCGAGGCUGGAGUGCAGGAGGGGCAGGCGGAAUUCGUGGUGUAGCGGUGAAAUGCGGAGAUAUCAGGAGGAACACCGGUGGAGAAGGCAGCCUGCUGGACUGCAACUGACGUUGAGGCCCGAAAGCGUGGGGAGCAAACAGGAUGAGAUACCCCAGUAGUC